AAACACUUGAAGUCAGUCGCGUUGUUCAGAACUCAGCCUGGCCUUGGCUUGGUGCAUUUUCUGAAUAACGGGCCAGCAUCAAUUUUGACUGUUGGAUAAAGGCUAGGGAAAUGUGGCUCCUUUGGGAGUGUUAUAGUCCUUGGUUGCAUACAAUGGUUGGGAUUGAGGAACUCAGCAUGCCUUUAUGGUCGGGGUUCGCCCACGUUCAUGCUUAGGAUGCUGGCGUAAUGGCUUUAAA
rnacentral:rRNA from 1 species